rnacentral:rRNA from 1 species
UACGAAGGGGGCUAGCGUUGUUCGGAAUUACUGGGCGUAAAGCGCGCGCAGGCGGUCUUCCAAGUCAGUGGUGAAAGCCCGGAGCUCAACUCCGGAAUUGCCAUUGAAACUGUUGGACUUGAGUACGAGAGAGGUGAGUGGAAUUCCCAGUGUAGAGGUGAAAUUCGUAGAUAUUAGGAAGAACACCGGUGGCGAAGGCGGCCCACUGGAUCGGUACUGACGCUGAGGUGCGAAAGCGUGGGGAGCAAACAGG